GAUGAUUUAUAAAAACAAAAAUAAAAGAAUAUUUAAUUUCUCGUAUUAUAAAGAUGAUAUAUAUAUUUUUUUCUAUAAAACUAAUUUAUUCAAUAAGGUAAAAAAAUUUGAGAACUGUAGUGGAACAGUUGAAUUCGUUACCACAAGGGGAUUUAUGGUCAACAUUAAUUUGUUAACCAAUAAAUCUAUUAAGUUAAAAAUAAACAAAAACUAUACUAUUGCAUUGUUAUUCGCAGGAACGCGAUCCAGUGUUGGAUGUAUUCUUCUUCCUUAUUGAUGUAUCAAUUUGCAAUAGGGUGAAUCGCUUGCAUUUCUAUUAAAAAUUAUUAACCUUUUACUUUUUGCUACAAAUUUUAUAUGAAGAUAAUGUAGAGUCCUCAAACAAUGGUAGGAAUUGCUACAUUUGAUGUAACCAGUGGCGGAUGCUAAGAGGGGUCAGGGGGCCAUGGCCUCUCCGGCUUAAAGGCUCAUAAUAUUUUAUAUAUAUAGUUUUUUUUAUAAAAAAAUCUAAUAUCAGUAUAUUUGCCAAGUGGCCCCUCCGUUUUGAGUUCACCUGUAUAUGUGAUGUAAGUUACAAAACUUUGUUAUCAAGUGAUAAACUUAACUCAUCCGAAAAUCACUCACCAAAUACGUAUUACAUUAGGAAAUUAAUUAAGUUAAGAAACUCUCUAUAAAACAAAAUAAAAAAUCAAAUCAAACAUAAAAUUCUUUUAACUCAAAGAUUUGGGUUUUUAAGAAAACAAUGGAGACCUAGAAAUAUCGACGCCGGAAAAAUUCCAAAUCUCACCGGAAAAACGUUGUCGUCUAUCGCCCACCUGCAUCUCUCCCAUCGGUCUCUGUGACCGCUCGCCGGACCACUGCUUCUCCGUCGUUGGACCGCUUAUUUUCCGCUCGCUCUUUUUUUCUCCUUCGUUUGCCGUCCCUCUCAAAUAAUUUGUUAUCUUCUUCGGCUCUUCGCUCUCCACAAGAGUUUUCAGGUAUUAAUUUUCAUUCCCGUUUUUGUGUAUGUACUUGCCUUCUCUUUUUUUUUUUUUAUUGUUUCUCUUUCUAUAUGUUAAAGGAGGAGUGUAGCUUUGGUUAUAGACUGACAACUGAGAAUCACUAUUGCUAUCCACUCGAUUCCUGUGAAGAAAUAGACUCCUCACAAACUUAUAUUAAAUAUUAUUUAUUGUUUUUUAAACUUGUGGUAAUUUAGACAUUUAGUAUGCAAAUACAAUAUGUAAAAUAUGAAGACUAUAACAACUAUGCUUGUAUACGAGUGUAAAAUCAUAAUAUAUUGUUUAUUUAGGUUUUAAUAUAAUAAAAUAAAUCGGUAACUUAUAUAAUUAUUAGUUAAUAUUUUAUGUAGUUCAUAUCAACUUGUAUACGAGUGUAAAAGCAUAAUAUAUUGUUUAUUUAGGUUAAUGAGCCUUUUCGAAGUGGUGAUGUAUGCCGGUUAGUGGAAAAGUUUUAUCCUGGAGAUUUUAGUGAACAAGAGAAAUUACUUUUGAAGUUGCAACUUCAACACUAUGAGAUUGAUGUUGUUAAAC
rnacentral:lncRNA from 1 species